ACUGGAGUUUGAUCCUGGCUCAGAUUGAACGCUGGCGGAAUGCUUUACACAUGCAAGUCGAACGGUAGAGGGGGCAACCCCUUGAGAGUGGCGAACGGGUGAGUAAUAUAUCGGAACGUGCCCAGUCGUGGGGGAUAACGUAGUGAAAUUACGCUAAUACCGCAUACGAUCUAAGGAUGAAAGCGGGGAUCACAAGACCUCGCGCGAUUGGAGCGGCCGAUAUCAGAUUAGGUAGUUGGUAGGGUAAAGGCCUACCAAGCCAACGAUCUGUAGCUGGUCUGAGAGGACGACCAGCCACACUGGAACUGAGACACGGUCCAGACUCCUACGGGAGCAGCAGUGGGGAAUUUGGACAAUGGGGCGCAAG
rnacentral:rRNA from 1 species